GAGGGUAUAGCUCAAGUGUUAGAGUGCAUGCUUAGCAUGCACGAGGUCCUGGGUUCAAGCCCCAGUCCUUCU
rnacentral:tRNA from 1 species